rnacentral:rRNA from 1 species
CUACGGGAGGCACCAGUGGGGAAUAUUGCACAAUGGGGGGAACCCUGAUGCAGCAACGCCGCGUGGAGGAUGACGCAUUUCGGUGUGUAAACUCCUUUUAUAUGUCAAGAAAAUGACGGUAGCAUAUGAAUAAGCGCCGGCUAACUCCGUGCCAGCAGCCGCGGUAAUACGGAGGGCGCAAGCGUUACUCGGAAUCACUGGGCGUAAAGGACGCGUAGGCGGGUUGAAAAGUCAGGUGUGAAAGCCUACAGCUUAACUGUAGAACUGCACUUGAAACUCUCAAUCUAGAGUAUGGGGGGGCAGAUGGAAUUAGUGGUGUAGGGGUAAAAUCCGUAGAUAUCACUAGGAAUACCUAAAGCGAAGGCGAUCUGCUGGAACAUUACUGACGCUAAGGCGUGAAAGCGUGGGGAGCAAACAGGAUUAGAUACCCCUGUAGUC